UACGUAGGCAGCAAGCGUUGUUCGGAGUUACUGGGCGUAAAGAGCGCGCAGGCGGCUGGUCAAGUCCGAUGUGAAAGCUCCCGGCUUAACUGGGAAAUUGCAUCGGAAACUGAUCGGCUGGAAGGUGGGAGAGGGUAGCGGAAUUCCCGGUGUAGUGGUGAAAUGCGUAGAUAUCGGGAGGAACACCAGUGGCGAAAGCGGCUACCUGGCCCAUUCUUGACGCUGAGGCGCGAAAGCUAGGGGAGCAAACGGG
rnacentral:rRNA from 1 species